AGAGUGCUUACAGACAAACGGCACGUGUCGACAGCACGCGUCGACGGCAGUUGACGGCUGCCGCCGACAGUUGAAGGCU